rnacentral:rRNA from 1 species
GAUGAACGCUGGCGGCGUGCUUAACACAUGCAAGUCGAGCGAGAAGUUUUGAAAAGAUUCUUCGGAUGAAAUUUAAAAUGGAAAGCGGCGGACGGGUGAGUAACGCGUAGGCAACCUGCCCCAUACAAAGGGAUAGCAUUUGGAAACGAAUAUUAAUACCUUAUGAAACUUAACUAGUGCAUGCUAGGUAGGUCAAAGAUUUAUCGGUAUGGGAUGGGCCUGCGUCUGAUUAGCUAGUUGGUGAGGUAACGGCUCACCAAGGCGACGAUCAGUAGCCGACCUGAGAGGGUGAACGGCCACAUUGGAACUGAGACACGGUCCAAACUCCUACGGGAGGCAGCAGUGGGGAAUAUUGCACAAUGGGGGAAACCCUGAUGCAGCAGCGCCGCGUGAACGAUGAAGGCCUUUGGGUCGUAAAGUUCUGUUCUAGGUGAUGAAAACUGACAGUAACCGAGGAGAAAGCCCCGGCUAACUCCGUG